UACGGGGGGAGCAAGCGUUGUUCGGAUUUACUGGGCGUAAAGGGCGCGUAGGCGGCCAGUGCAAGUCAGUUGUGAAAUCUCCGAGCUUAACUCGGAAAGGUCAACUGAUACUGCUCGGCUGGAGUGCGGAAGGGGCAACUGGAAUUCUUGGUGUAGCGGUGAAAUGCGUAGAUAUCAAGAGGAACACCUGCGGCGAAGGCGGGUUGCUGGGCCGACACUGACGCUGAAGCGCGAAAGCUAGGGGAGCGAACGGG
rnacentral:rRNA from 1 species